UACGAAGGGUGCAAGCGUUACUCGGAAUUACUGGGCGUAAAGGGUGCGUAGGUGGUCGUUUAAGUCCGUUGUGAAAUCCCUGGGCUCAACCUGGGAAUGGCAGUGGAUACUGGACGGCUAGAAUGCGGUAGAGGGUAGUGGAAUUCCCGGUGUAGCGGUGAAAUGCGUAGAGAUCGGGAGGAACACCAGUGGCGAAGGCGGCUACCUGGACCAGCACUGACACUGAGGCACGAAAGCGUGGGGAGCAAACAGG
rnacentral:rRNA from 1 species